AUGGGAGCCACUGCGGGAGCGGAGACUCUGACAUCCGUGGACCGUGGGCCACUGGAGGUUCCGCUGGCUCUCCAAGUCUCACAGGGUGGCAGCGGUGGCGGCGGCAGCGGCAGCGGUGGCAACUCAACUGACUGGCCGGGCGGUGAGUCACCCUCUGCUCGGGCCCUCCGGCUGGCCUCGCCUCCGUCUUACGUUUUACAAGUUUUACGUUCCAUAUCCUGAUGCGGCCUGAUGGCUAAUCGGUCCUGGGCGCCUGUCCUGUGCUGUGGUGACCAAGAGCAGACGCGGUACUGCAGGGGCGGCCUGGCCGGCGAGCAGAGAGCGGCUGCCUCCCGUGAUCUUGACCCAGAGCUCUCUGAGACCCCAAAAAGGAAAAAGGACACAUUUAGGAAAUGGAAGGAAGGGAGCAUCACGCGAGAAGAAUGCAAAGCAGUCUCCAGAGAUUCUAGUGCUUUCGCCAGAAAACCUAAACCUCGGGCCGCGAUUCCAAAAAUAAAAAGGAAACCAAAGAGACUGUGAGCCUGUUUGCAGG